rnacentral:SRP_RNA from 1 species
GCUGGGCGUGGUGGCACACGCCUGUAAUCCAAGCUACUCAGGAGGCUGAGGCAGGAGAAUUUCUUGAGCCCGGGAGAUGGAGGUUGCAGUGAGCUGAGAUCAUGUCACUACACUCCAGCCUGGGCAACAGAGCGAGACUCUGUCUCAA